GAGGAAAAGAGGAUUCUUAAGACUGAUCAUGAAGAGGAUUGAGGCAUAACACUUUGCGAUUCGUCAUAGCAGCAUAUAUUGAUUUAGAGAAUGUUUGAAGGAUAUUGAAAAAGAAUCACGCUUUUUUUCUUGGAUUGCCUCAAACUUCAAAAAACUUGGCUAACUACAUUCUACCUGAAAUUUGUGGCAGAAGUCCAACAAUAUAGUUAUACUGAAUAUAGACAUGUUGGAUGUAAACAAUUUUCAAAUAACAAAAAUUAAGAUGAAUAUUUUAUGUUCAGUUUUACAGCAUAAUGCAUAUCUCAAAUACACAGAAAAUAUAUGAAAUUUAUAUUCUG